CCUACGGGCGGCAGCAGUGAGGAAUAUUGGUCAAUGGACGAGAGUCUGAACCAGCCAAGUAGCGUGAAGGAUGACUGCCCUAUGGGUUGUAAACUUCUUUUAUAUGGGAAUAAAACGUUCCACGUGUGGGAUUUUGUAUGUACCAUAUGAAUAAGGAUCGGCUAACUCCGUGCCAGCAGCCGCGGUAAUACGGAGGAUCCGAGCGUUAUCCGGAUUUAUUGGGUUUAAAGGGAGCGUAGGUGGAUUGUUAAGUCAGUUGUGAAAGUUUGCGGCUCAACCGUAAAAUUGCAGUUGAAACUGGCAGUCUUGAGUACAGUAGAGGUAGGCGGAAUUCGUGGUGUAGCGGUGAAAUGCGUAGAUAUCACGAAGAACUCCGAUUGCGAAGGCAGUUCACUGGACUGCAACUGACACUGAGGCUCGAAAGUGUGGGUAUCAAACAGGAUUAGAUACCCCAGUAGUC
rnacentral:rRNA from 1 species